GGUAAGGCCCUUCGGGGUACACGAGCGGCGAACGGGUGAGUAACACGUGGGUAACCUGCCCUGUACUCUGGGAUAAGCCUGGGAAACUAGGUCUAAUACCGGAUAUGACUCCAUUAGGCAUCUUGUGGGGUGGAAAGUUCCGGCGGUACAGGAUGGACCCGCGGCCUAUCAGCUUGUUGGUGGGGUAAUGGCCUACCAAGGCGACGACGGGUAGCCGGCCUGAGAGGGUGACCGGCCACACUGGGACUGAGACACGGCCCAGACUCCUACGGGAGGCAGCAGUGGGGAAUAUUGCACAAUGGGCGAAAGCCUGAUGCAGCGACGCCGCGUGAGGGAUGACGGCCUUCGGGUUGUAAACCUCUUUCAGCGGGGACGAAGGGCAACUGACGGUACCCGCAGAAGAAGCACCGGCUAACUACGUGCCAGCAGCCGCGGUAAUACGUAGGGUGCGAGCGUUGUCCGGAAUUAUUGGGCGUAAAGAGCUCGUAGGCGGUUUGUUGCGUCGGCUGUGAAAACUUCACGCUUAACGUGGAGCCUGCAGUCGAUACGGGCAGACUUGAGUUCGGCAGGGGAGACUGGAAUUCCUGGUGUAGCGGUGAAAUGCGCAGAUAUCAGGAGGAACACCGGUGGCGAAGGCGGGUCUCUGGGCCGAUACUGACGCUGAGGAGCGAAAGCGUGGGGAGCGAACAGGAUUAGAUACCCUGGUAGUCCACGCCGUAAACGGUGGGUGCUAGGUGUGGGGGACUUCCACGUCCUCCGUGCCGCAGCUAACGCAUUAAGCACCCCGCCUGGGGAGUACGGCCGCAAGGCUAAAACUCAGAGGAAUUGACGGGGGCCCGCACAAGCGGCGGAGCAUGUGGAUUAAUUCGAUGCAACGCGAAGAACCUUACCUGGGCUUGACAUGCACCGGAAACCUGCAGAGAUGUAGGCCUCUUCGGACUGGUGUACAGGUGGUGCAUGGCUGUCGUCAGCUCGUGUCGUGAGAUG
rnacentral:rRNA from 1 species